rnacentral:rRNA from 1 species
AUUGAACGCUGGCGGCGUGCUUAACACAUGUAAGUCGAUCGGUAACGCGGGGGCAACCCUGGCGACGAGAGGCGGACGGGUGAGGAACGCUUGGGAAUCUGCCUAUCAGCGGGGGACAACACGGGGAAACUCGUGCUAAUACCGCAUACGCUCUACGGAGGAAAGCCGGGGACCGCAAGGCCUGGCACUGAUAGAUGAGCCCAAGCCGGAUUAGCUAGUUGGCGGGGUAACGGCCCACCAAAGCGACGAUCCGUAGCUGGUCUGAGAGGACGAUCAGCCACACUGGGACUGAGACACGGCCCAGACUCCUACGGGAGGCAGCAGUGGGGAAUAUUGGACAAUGGGGGCAACCCUGAUCCAGCCAUGCCGCGUGAGUGAAGAAGGCCUUCGGGUUGUAAAGCUCUUUCGGCCGGGAAGAAAUCGCACAGGCUAAUACCUUGUGUGGAUGACGGUACCGGAAUAAGAAGCACCGGCUAACUACGUGCCAGCAGCCGCAGUAAAAC